AUGGACCUGUCGGCGAACCCGGACAGCCCUCUCUCUGGAGGGGGCAACGGCGGCGGUUCCUCGAGCAGCAUCACCUCCUCGCUUUCCGUGGUCUCAGGGGGCACUCCGCAGUCGCCGAGCAGGUACGAAGCGCAGAAGCGGCGCGACUGGAACACGUUCGGGCAGUACCUGCGGAACCACCGGCCGCCGCUGAGCCUGGCUCAGUGCAGCGGCGCGCACGUCCUGGAGUUCCUGCGCUACCUUGACCAGUUCGGCAAGACCAAGGUGCACGCCUCGGCCUGCCCCUUCUUCGGCCACCCGAGCCCGCCGGCACCCUGCCCGUGCCCACUCCGCCAGGCCUGGGGCAGCCUGGACGCCCUCGUCGGCCGCCUCCGCGCCGCCUACGAGGAGAACGGCGGCAGCCCCGAGUCCAACCCGUUCGCGGCGCGCGCCGUCCGCCUCUACCUCCGCGAGGUCCGCGAGCACCAGGCCCGCGCACGCGGCGUCAGCUACGAGAAGAAGAAGCGCAAGAAGCCGCAGCAGCUGACCGGCGACAGCAGCGGCAGCAGCUUCCACAGCAACCAGCACCAGCCCCCUCCCGGGGCGCCUCCCGCCGCCGGUUGCUGA
rnacentral:rRNA from 1 species